AGCUCCAAUAGCGUAUAUUAAAGUUGCUGCAGUUAAAAAGCUCGUAGUUGCAUUUCCGAGGCAAUGGAUUAGUCCGACCUUUGGUGGGUAUUUAAUCCUCUUGCCUCGUCCUUGAGUGGUGCUUCUUGGUAUUAAGUUAUCGAGGAGAUAGCCGCUCAUCGUUUACUGUGAGAAAAUUAGAGUGUUCAAAGCAGGCUUAUGCCGUUGAAUAUAUUAGCAUGGAAUAAUAAGAUAGGACCUCGGUACUAUUUUGGUGGUUUGAGAACCAAGGUAAUGAUGAAUAGGGACAGUUGGGGGUAUUCGUAUUCAGUUGUCAGAGGUGAAAUUCUUAGAUUUACGGAAGACGAACUACUGCGAAAGCAUUUACCAAGGAUGUUUUCA
rnacentral:rRNA from 1 species